AUACGGAGGGUGCAAGCGUUGUUCGGAAUCACUGGGCGUAAAGGGCGCGCAGGCGGUUUGAUUAGUCAGAUGUGAAAGCCCACGGCUUAACCGUGGAAGUGCAUUUGAAACUGUCAGACUUGAGUACUAGAGGGGAAAGUGGAAUUCCCGGUGUAGAGGUGAAAUUCGUAGAUAUCGGGAGGAAUACCGGUGGCGAAGGCGACUUUCUGGCUAGAUACUGACGCUGAGGCGCGAAAGCGUGGGGAGCAAACAGGAUUAGAAACCCCAGUAGUCC
rnacentral:rRNA from 1 species